ensembl:lncRNA
GCUUGUGAGUGAGCCAUCUUAGAAGUGGAUCUUCCUGUCCCAGUCAAGCCUUCAGAUAACCAAGGCCUUGAUAACCAAGGCCUCGGCCAAUGUGUUGACUAAAACUUCAUGAGAGCCAGAACCACCCGAUUACACUGUUGCAAAAUACCUGACCCCCUGCAACAGUGUGAGAUUAUACAUGUUUAUUAUUUUAAGCUGCUAAGUUUUGGAGUAAUCCAUUAUUCAUUAGUCAAUAACAAAUAUAAAUGUCUUGUUCGUGAAGUAUCUUCUCAAAUCUAUCAAAGCGCAGGGACUAUGAUUUCUUCCUUUUCCUUGCAUUUGCCAUGACUCCUGCCACAAGGAUGGACACUUUGGAAGAAGCACAGCAUGAGGAUGUGCUCGCUCAUUCAUUCAUUCAACAAAUGUUUAUUGAGUACCAAUGUGCUAGGUACUGUGUGUGCCAAAAGUGGCAAAACAGGUCAGCUUUCUGCCUGAAGGAGCUUAUGAUUAGUUAUUAAAUAAUCACAAGAAAAUGAAAUUUAUAAUUAUUAUGUACAUACUAUGAAUACAAAGUAAAGGUGAAAUGGACAGGGGACCACAUUUGUAUUGAGGGUAGGGAGUAGCCAAGGAAGGCAUCUCUGUGGAAGGAAUAUUUAAGUAGAAGCAUAAAGGAUGACUAGCAAUCAUUCGGGCAACAGGACAGGAAGCGGGGAAAGGCAUUCCAGGUGUGUGAGUGUCCUCAGGCCAACAAACUUUGGGGCAGGGGUGUCUGCAGGAAGCAAGGUUGGUGAGGAAGCCUGGGGCCAGUCAUCAGGAGUUCUGUAAAUCAUGUUAGGAUUUUAUUUUAAAUAAGCCCCUUAGGAAGUCACUGGAUUGUACUUGGUUGUUCAGCCGUGUCCGACUCUUUGCGAUCCCAUGGACUGUCACCCACCAGGCUCCUCUGUCCAUGGGAAUUCUCCAGGCAAGAAUACUGGAGCGGAUUGUCUUGCUCUCCUCCAGGGGAUCUUCCCAACCGAGGGAUUGAACCCAGAUCUCCUGCAUUGGAGGCAGAUUCUUUACUGUUUAAGCCACCAGGGAAGCCCUGGGAAGUCACUUGAGAGGCUAUAAGCAGGGGAUCCCUGUUCCUGGUGGGAGUUAGGAUAAUGUUUUAGAGAUGGUUUAGAAUGGUGCUGUCACGACAAUGAUCAGUGGCUCCUGCCAUCACCCUGGAGGAAGAUGAUCAUGGCUUUGGGCUAGGCUAGUGGCAGAGGGAAUAAGAGAAGUGGGCAGUGCAAGAGAUAUUUUGAAAGUAGAAUGGACAAGAUUGCAGCAACAUGGAUGGGCCUAGAGAGUAUCAUACUGAGUGAAAUAAGGCAGACAGAGAAGGAGAAAUAUCAUAUGACAUCCCUAAUAUGUGGAAUCUAAAAAGAAAUAACACAAAUGAACUUACUUACAAAACAGAGAGAGACCACAGACUUAGAAAACGAACUCACAGCUGCUGGGUGGAAAGAAUAGUUAAGGACUUUGGGAAGGUCAUGUACACAUUGCUGUAUUUAAAAUGGAUAACCAGUAAAAACCUAUUGUAUAGCACAUGGAACUCUGCUCAAUGUUAUGUGCCAGCCUGGAUGGGAGGGGGCUUUGGGGGAGAAUGGAUCAUAUAUAUGUACGGCUGAGUCCCUUCCCUGGUCGCCUGAAACUAUCAAAACAUUUUUAAUUGGCUAUCAGUUCAGUUCAGUUGCUCAGUCGUGUCCGAAUCUUUGCGACCCCAUGAAUUGCAGCACGCAAGGCCUCCGUGUCCAUCACCAGCUCUCGGAGUUCACUCAGACUCAUGUCCAUCGAGUCGGUGAUGCCAUCCAGCCAUCUCAUCCUCUGUCAUCCCCUUCUCCUCCUAUACCCCAGUACAAAUGGUUGAUUGGCUAAUGAUGCAGAACCCCUCAACUGACAUUCCUCAGAGUUGCAGUGGCCUGAGCUCCCUCCUACCUGGAAUAAAAUGGGAUCCCCUUCCCUGAGCCAUGAUCCC